AGGAGGAACAACAACAGUGUCAGAGGUCAGCUCUAGAGCUCUGGAUUCAGCUCCCGCAGUAACUAUGGAGCUCUCAGCCUGCAGGGGCCUGGAUGCUCCGGGAGCGG
rnacentral:pre_miRNA from 1 species